rnacentral:rRNA from 1 species
GACAGAGGGUGCAAACGUUGUUCGGAAUUACUGGGCGUAAAGCGCAUGUAGGCGGCCAAGCAGGUCGGAUGUGAAAUCCCUCGGCUCAACCAAGGAAGUGCAUUCGAAACCGCAUGGCUCGAGUCCCGGAGAGGAAGGUGGAAUUCUCGGUGUAGAGGUGAAAUGCGUAGAUAUCGGGAGGAACACCAGUGGCGAAGGCGACUUCCUGGCCUGUUCUUGACGCUGAGGCGCGAAAGCUAGGGGAGCAAACGGG